rnacentral:lncRNA from 12 species
AUCCAUUUACCUCCCAAGAAGAGCCGUCCUCUCUACGUCGCAACACAGACAGCCCGAGGACAGCAUAACCUUACAGCCAUCGGACAGGUUCAGGCGACACUUGCUGGCAAAGGAGUGUUUGCAUUCUUGUCAUCUGUCCACAGGGAUGCGGUUCCCAAGCCCCCGCUCCCUCUACCGCUUCCAGCGUGUGUGCCGGGAGAGUUGCACACGCACACGCACACGGACACGGACACACGACACACGCGCGCCGCGCACACACGCCCCGAACAGGACCACAGUUCCGGCCCGCGCGGCCCGAAGACGACCGACCUGCCGCUCGGGUCCGGUCCCCCCGCCUGCCGCCCCCUUCCCGGUCUAAGACCGCGCGGAAGUCAGCCCGGCGGCCAGAGGCCGGUCCGAGGCGGCGUCCCGGGAGGAGGUCGGGCCAGGCGGCGCGGCCGCCCGCAGCGGGGACUCUCGGGGUCGGCCCGGUGCGCCCCGGGCUACCCGCCUCGGCCCGGGCGUCACGCUGGGCGCGUCCCCACGGCCCCCCGCCUCGGGGCUGCCGAGCGCCGGCCGCGGCCUCCCGGACAGCGUCGCUCGGCGUCACGCGAGGGAAGCCACGCGCAGGCACGAGCACACGGACACGCACACGGACACACACGCACGCCGCGCGCCGAGCGCUUGCUCUGGCCCCGACGCUCCGGGCCUCGCGUCCCUCCCGGGGGAGGCUCCGAGCGCGGGCGGGGCGUCCCGAGCCCCCUCCGGCCGCCGCCGCGGGAUCCAGGCGCUGCGGCCCCCCGCGCCCCCCGCGCCCCCCGCGCCCCCCGCGGCCCUCGCGGCCCCCGCUGCGCUCGGCACAAGGUCGCGCGCGGUCUGGAGGCAAGUUUCCGACACGCCCCCCGACCGGCCGACCGGCUCCCCGCGCCCUCUCCAGUGCCCUGCGUGCACUCCCCGAGGCAAGGGCGUUCCCUACCCAGGCCGAAAACUUUUUCCUCGCCUCCCGGCGCAGUCAGGCGAGCAACGGGCCACCGCGGCCGCCGCCCCCUUCGCCCCGCGCGCGGCUGGGAGCGCAGCCGUUACCUGCCCGCUGCGCCCGGGCGAGCGUCCCGCGGCGGCCUCCCGCGCCGCGCCCAGGGAGCCGGGGUCCCGGGACCGCACGCCGCGCCCGCGGCCGCCCUCCCGCGUCUGCGCGCCCCGGCCCGAGGAGGCUGCCGCCGGCGGACCCCGCGGACCGGGCUCGGGACGGCGCCCACGUGCCCCCGCUGCGCGCCCCGGGUCCCAGAGCGCUCCGCCGCGGGCAGCUGCGGCCGCGUCCCAUGCAGCGCGGCGGGCCGGCACCUGCCCCAGAGGUGGCGCCGCGGGCUGCGGCUCCGGCUCGGGCUCGGGCUCGGGCUCCGACUGGCUCCGGCUCGGGCUCGGGCUCCGGCUCGGGCUCCGGCUCGGGCUCCGGCUCCGGCUCGGGCUCCGGCUCGGGCUCCGGCUCCGGCUCCGCACGCCGCCCCCGCGCCCCGGGCUCCCCGCGCCCCGGCGCUCACCGUUCACGUCGUCGCCGUCGUCUCCGUCCCCACUUUUCCCUUCUCCCUCUUUCCGCCUCCUCCUUUAUCUUGGAUUCUGGUUUUCCGAGAGCUGACGGCGGACGCUCCGAGGGGGAGGAGGGUCUCUCCGUCCCCGCGAACUCUUCCUCUGCCUGGUGGUGGCGGUCGUGGCCACCGCCCGCCGCUCCUGCUGCUGCUCCUCCUCCUCCUCCUCCUCCCC